rnacentral:lncRNA from 1 species
GGAGGUGCAAAGGCGGUGGACUCUCGCCUGUCUUCUCCGUGGGAUCCACAGGAUAGUCCGAGGAUCCUAGGAGAGGGCAGAUGUGAGCGAGCCUGAAGAAACGUCAGGCAGAGCCCCAGGAGUAAACCGCGAAAUCCCUAGGGAUCCAAAAGGAUCUGAAGGAUGCCUCAGGCCUGUCUAGUCGUUGUAGGGAGACAAGGUCUGGCUCUGUCACCCAAGCUGGAGUACAGUGGCACCAGCUCCACUCACUGUAACCUUUGCCUCCCAAGUUGAAGUGAUUCCUGUGCCUCAGCCUCCCAAGUAGCUGGGACUACAGAUAUGGACACUAUUGAUGGGAGCGGCUGGCCAUCUGGAGUGGCAGUUGCCAUCAUGCCAGUAGCGCUUGGGCCGCAUGGGCAGUGUUGUCAGGAGCAGCAGCAGGAGCAGCAGUGGCGGUGCACUAUUCACAAUAGCCAAGAUAUGGAAUCAACAUAAGUGUCCAUCAACAGAUGAAUGGAUAAAGAAAAUGUGACAUACAUAUAUAAUGGAAUACUAUUAAGUUAUAAUAAAGAACAAAAUCCUGUC